rnacentral:rRNA from 1 species
UACGUAGGCAGCAAGCGUUGUUCGGAGUUACUGGGCGUAAAGGGUGUGUAGGCGGUUAUUUAAGUUUGGUGUGAAAUCUCCCGGCUCAACCGGGAGGGUGCGCCGAAUACUGAAUGACUUGGAGUGCGGGAGAGGAAAGUGGAAUUCCUGGUGUAGCGGUGAAAUGCGUAGAUAUCAGGAGGAACACCGGUGGUGUAGACGGCUUUCUGGACCGUAACUGACGCUGAGACACGAAAGCGUGGGGAUCAAACAGG